rnacentral:rRNA from 1 species
AGAGUUUGAUCCUGGCUCAGAACGAACGCUGGCGGCAGGCUUAACACAUGCAAGUCGAGCGCCCCGCAAGGGGAGCGGCAGACGGGUGAGUAACGCGUGGGAAUCUACCCAUCUCUACGGAACAACUCCGGGAAACUGGAGCUAAUACCGUAUACGUCCUUCGGGAGAAAGAUUUAUCGGAGAUGGAUGAGCCCGCGUUGGGAUUAGCUAGUUGGUGGGGUAAUGGCCUACCAAGGCGACGAUCCAUAGCUGGUCUGAGAGGAUGAUCAGCCACACUGGGACUGAAGAACCCGGCCCAGACUCCUACGGGAGGCAGCAGUGGGGAAUAUUGGUCAAUGGGCGGAAGCCUGAACCAGCCAUGCCGCGUGCAGGAAGACGGCCCUACGGGUUGUAAACUGCUUUUGUACCGGAAUAAACCUAUCUACGUGUAGAUAGCUGA